AUUGAACGCUGGCGGCAGGCCUAACACAUGCAAGUCGAACGAGUGGCGGACGGGUGAGUAAUGUCUGGGAAACUGCCUGAUGGAGGGGGAUAACUACUGGAAACGGUAGCUAAUACCGCAUACAAUCAGAUGUGCCCAGGUGGGAUUAGCUAGUUGGUGGGGUAACGGCUCACCGAGGCGACGAUCCCUAGCUGGUCUGAGAGGAUGACCAGCCACCAUGGAACUGAGACACGGUCCAGGCUCCGAUGCGAGGCAGCAGUGGGGAAUAUUGCACAAUGGGCACAAGGCUGCUGCAGCCCUGACGCGUGUAGGAAGAAGGCCUUCGGGUUGUAAAGUACUUUCAGCGGGGAGGCGUUACCAGCAGAAGAAGCACCGGCUAACUCCGUGCCAGCAGCCGCGGUAAUAC
rnacentral:rRNA from 1 species